rnacentral:rRNA from 1 species
GACGGAGGAUGCAAGUGUUAUCCGGAAUCACUGGGCGUAAAGCGUCUGUAGGUGGUUUAAUAAGUCAACUGUUAAAUCUUGAGGCUCAACCUCAAAAUCGCAGUCGAAACUAUUAGGCUAGAGUAUAGUAGGGGUAAAGGGAAUUUCCAGUGGAGCGGUGAAAUGCGUAGAGAUUGGAAAGAACACCGAUGGCGAAGGCGGCAUCCUGGACCGAUAUUGACGCUGAUGCGCGAAAGCCAGGGGAGCAAACGGG